AGAUUGAACGCUGGCGGCAGGCCUAACACAUGCAAGUCGAGCGGUAACAUUUCCAGCUUGCUGGAAGAUGACGAGCGGCGGACGGGUGAGUAAUACUUGGGGAUCUGCCUGAUGGCGGGGGACAACCACUGGAAACGGUGGCUAAUACCGCAUAAUGCCUACGGGCCAAAGUGUGGGACCUUCGGGCCACAUGCCAUCAGAUGAACCCAAGCGAGAUUAGCUAGUUGGUGAGGUAACGGCUUACCAAGGCGACGAUCUCUAGCUGUUCUGAGAGGAUGAUCAGCCACACUGGGACUGAGACACGGCCCAGACUCCUACGGGAGGCAGCAGUGGGGAAUAUUGGACAAUGGGCGCAAGCCUGAUCCAGCCAUGCCGCGUGUGUGAAGAAGGCCUUCGGGUUGUAAAGCACUUUCAGUGGUGAGGAAGGCGUUGUAGUUAAUAGCUGCAACGAUUGACGUUAGCCACAGAAGAAGCACCGGCUAACUCCGUGCCAGCAGCCGCGGUAAUACGGAGGGUGCGAGCGUUAAUCGGAAUUACUGGGCGUAAAGCGCACGUAGGCGGCUUGUUAAGCAAGAUGUGAAAGCCCAGGGCUCAACCUUGGAAUUGCAUUUUGAACUGGCAAGCUAGAGUUUUGAAGAGGGUGGUAGAAUUUCCAGUGUAGCGGUGAAAUGCGUAGAUAUUGGAAGGAAUACCAGUGGCGAAGGCGGCCACCUGGUCAAAAACUGACGCUGAGGAGCGAAAGCGUGGGGAGCAAACAGGAUUAGAUACCCUGGUAGUCCACGCCGUAAACGAUGUCAACUAGUUGUUCGUGUCUUUGAGACGUGAGUAACGCAGCUAACGCACUAAGUUGACCGCCUGGGGAGUACGGCCGCAAGGUUAAAAC
rnacentral:rRNA from 1 species